UACGGAGGGUGCGAGCGUUGUUCGGAAUUACUGGGCGUAAAGGGCGAGUAGGCGGCCUCCUAAGUCAGACGUGAAAUCCCCCGGCUUAACCUGGGAACUGCGUCUGAUACUGGGAAGCUUGAGUAUGGGAGAGGAAGGUAGAAUUCCAGGUGUAGCGGUGAAAUGCGUAGAUAUCUGGAGGAAUACCGGUGGCGAAGGCGGCCUUCUGGACCAUAACUGACGCUGAUCCGCGAAAGCUAGGGGAGCAAACGGG
rnacentral:rRNA from 1 species